rnacentral:rRNA from 1 species
GAUGAACGCUGGCGGCGUGCCUAAUACAUGCAAGUCGAGCGAACAGACGAGGAGCUUGCUCCUCUGACGUUAGCGGCGGACGGGUGAGUAACACGUGGAUAACCUACCUAUAAGACUGGGAUAACUUCGGGAAACCGGAGCUAAUACCGGAUAAUAUAUUGAACCGCAUGGUUCAAUAGUGAAAGACGGUUUUGCUGUCACUUAUAGAUGGAUCCGCGCCGCAUUAGCUAGUUGGUAAGGUAACGGCUUACCAAGGCAACGAUGCGUAGCUGACCUGAGAGGGUGAUAGGCCACACUGGAACUGAGACACGGUCCAGACUCCUAGGGGAGGAAGCAGGAGGGAAACUGCAGAAAUGGGCGAAAGCCUGACGAAGCAACGCCGCGUGAGUGAUGAAGGUCUUCGGAUCGUAAGACUCUGUUAUUAGGGAAGAACAAAUGUGGAAGUAACUAUGCACGUCUUGACGGUACCUAAUCAGAAAGCCACGGCUAACUACGGG